AUGUUAGUUUAGAUUCAAUUUCGACACAAUCGCUGCAUAAAGUCGCAUUUUGUAUGUCAUGUAUGUGCCCUUAGACACGAGGAUAAUAGAUAUUUCCACUAACCAGAAAAUGGUUAGACAAGUCAAGGGGCAUAUAUUAAAGCGUAGAAUCCUAUGAUACAUUAUUUUCCAAUCCCAGCAUAGCACUAACACUAUAUUUUCUCGUUUUUUCAGGUAAUUGAUCAUUCUGCAGUGACCAAGAACUUUGUGCAACUCUAACAGAGCCGAGCCAAGCAAUUUUUAUCCGUAAUCCAUUGCGAUAAAGAACGAAGCGCCGUGAAAUAUGCCGCUUCGAAAGUUUAAGCUGGCUCUCGGUUUCCAAAGGAAGCUUUAGCUUUCGAAACUCAUUCAUAAGAGAUAACACUAGACGCCGGCAUUUUUAACGUUCCAUCAUCGCAUCCAAAUCAAAUCAAUAAA